rnacentral:rRNA from 1 species
AGUGAGUGGCGAACGGGUGAGUAACACGUGGGUAACCUGCCCAGAAGUGGGGGAUAACACCUGGAAACAGAUGCUAAUACCGCAUAACAAAGUAAACCGCAUGGUUUACUUUUAAAAGAUGGCUUCGGCUAUCACUUCUGGAUGGACCCGCGGCGUAUUAGCUAGUUGGUGAGAUAAAGGCUCACCAAGGCAGUGAUACGUAGCCGACCUGAGAGGGUAAUCGGCCACAUUGGGACUGAGACACGGCCCAGACUCCUACGGGAGGCAGCAGUAGGGAAUCUUCCACAAUGGACGAAAGUCUGAUGGAGCAACGCCGCGUGAGUGAUGAAGGCUUUAGGGUCGUAAAACUCUGUUGUUGGAGAAGAACGUGUGUGAGAGUAACUGCUCAUGCAGUGACGGUAUCCAACCAGAAAGCCACGGCUAACUACGUGCCAGCAGCCGCGGUAAUACGUAGGUGGCAAGCGUUAUCCGGAUUUAUUGGGCGUAAAGCGAGCGCAGGCGGUCUUUUAAGUCUAAUGUGAAAGCCUUCGGCUUAACCGAAGAAGUGCAUUGGAAACUGGAAGACUUGAGUGCAGAAGAGGACAGUGGAACUCCAUGUGUAGCGGUGAAAUGCGUAGAUAUAUGGAAGAACACCAGUGGCGAAGGCGGCUGUCUGGUCUGUAACUGACGCUGAG